UGCUUUCCACCUUACUUCCGGUCACUGCAUUCCAUUCCAUACACGCACAGGGUUAAACAGUGGUAAAGAAGACAUCCGAUCGCAUUGUGUUAGGAGGACUGAGCAGAACCCAGAGCCCCAUCACGGUGCCUCUACCUCACUCACUGAUACAUGAGACACAAUAACCAAAAGAUCCUGGAACUCACCAACAAGACGAUUCAGUUGCUGACUGGAGAGGAGGUGGAGUAUAUAGAGGAACAUAGGGGUCUGUACAAGGACGUGAUGAUGGAGAAUCACCGGCCCCUCACAUCACUGGAUGGGCCCAGUAACAGAGAUACCCCAGAGAGAUGUCCCCGUCCUCUGUAUUCCCAGGAUUGUACAGAGGAGAAUCACAGGACCCCACAGGAGGAUC